UGGAUCCAGACUUUGAUUCUGGCUCAGGAUGAACGCUAGCUACAGGCUUAACACAUGCAAGUCGAGGGGAAACGAUACUGGAAGCUUGCUUCCGAUAGGCGUCGACCGGCGCACGGGUGAGUAACGCGUAUCCAACCUGCCCACCACUUGGGGAUAACCUUGCGAAAGUAAGACUAAUACCCAAUGAUAUCUCUAGAAGACAUCUGAAAGAGAUUAAAGAUUUAUCGGUGAUGGAUGGGGAUGCGUCUGAUUAGCUUGUUGGCGGGGUAACGGCCCACCAAGGCGACGAUCAGUAGGGGUUCUGAGAGGAAGGUCCCCCACAUUGGAACUGAGACACGGUCCAAACUCCUACGGGAGGCAGCAGUGAGGAAUAUUGGUCAAUGGACGAGAGUCUGAACCAGCCAAGUAGCGUGCAGGAAGACGGCCCUAUGGGUUGUAAACUGCUUUUAUAAGGGAAUAAAGUUAGUCUCGUGAGACUUUUUGCAUGUACCUUAUGAAUAAGGACCGGCUAAUUCCGUGCCAGCAGCCGCGGUAAUACGGAAGAUCCGGGCGUUAUCCGGAUUUAUUGGGUUUAAAGGGAGCGUAGGCCGGAGAUUAAGCGUGUUGUGAAAUGUAGACGCUCAACGUCUGCACUGCAGCGCGAACUGGUUUCCUUGAGUACGCACAAAGUGGGCGGAAUUCGUGGUGUAGCGGUGAAAUGCUUAGAUAUCACGAAGAACUCCGAUUGUGAAGGCAGCUCACUGGAGCGCAACUGACGCUGAAGCUCGAAAGUGCGGGUAUCGAACAGGAUUAGAUACCCUGGUAGUCCGCACGGUAAACGAUGGAUGCCCGCUGUUGGUCUGAAUAGGUCAGCGGCCAAGCGAAAGCAUUAAGCAUCCCACCUGGGGAGUACGCCGGCAACGGUGCAACUCAAAUGAAUUGACGGA
rnacentral:rRNA from 1 species